AUAUAUAUAUAUAUACUCAAUUUGAUCAUCGAUAUACGUAUAUAUACACAUUUAAAAGAUCGAAGGGGAGACUUGGAAUAACUUGUAAAGUUGCUUCCACGUGACAAGGAGGUCACAGGUUCAAACCUUGGAAACAGCCUCUGGCAGAAAUGCAAGGCAAGGCUGCAUACAAUAUACCCUUGUGGUGGGGCCCUUCCCCGGAUCCUAUGCAUAGCGGGAGCUUUAGUGCAUCGAGAUUGCCUUUUUUUACACAUUUAGAAGAUGAGUUUUAACUCAUAUCCUCGACAGACGACCAAGCCACAUUUACCUGUUGUAAGCCUAUGUUGCUCGCAUUCUUCAACAAUACCACCAGGUGCGUGUCGGAUCCUCCAAAGGCAGUGCAAUUUCGUUUUUGGAGGAUCUGACAAGGGCGCACCAACAUUUUCAGAAUGUUCGAGCAACAUAGGCUGGAACAUCUUUUAGCUGGCCUGAUAGUGUAAAAAUUUCUAAGGUAUAUACACUAUUCGAUCAUCGAUAUACAUAUAUAUACACAUUUCGAUCAUCAAUGUACGUAUAUAUAUACAUUUUGACGAUGAGCUUUUAACUCAUAUCCUCGAUACACAAUCAAGUCACAUUUACGUGUAACUCUUUAGGUGACCUGAUAGUGUAAAAAUUUCUAAGGUAUAUACACUAUUCGAUCAUCGAUAUACAUAUAUAUACACAUUUCGAUCAUCA
rnacentral:lncRNA from 1 species